rnacentral:tRNA from 3 species
UUUAUUAUAGUUGAAAACAACGGUGGUAUUUCAAACCACAAGUCUCGGUUAAACCCGAGUAAUAACU